GAACCGGAUUAGAUACCCGGGUAGUCCACGCCGUAAACGAUGGAUACUAGCUGUUGGAGGUAUCGACCCCUUCAGUAGCGAAGCUAACGCGUUAAGUAUCCCGCCUGUGGAGUACGGCCGCAAGGCUAAAACAUAAAGGAAUUGACGGGGACCCGCACAAGCGGUGGAUUAUGUUCUUUAAUUCGAUGAUAACCGAAGAACCUUACCAGGGCUUGACAUCCAGGGAAGGUCUGCGAAAGUAGACUGUGCCUUUUGGAACCCUGUGACAGGUGAUGCAUGGCCGUCGUCAGCUCGUGUCGUGAGAUGUUAGGUUAAGUCCUUCAACGAGCGCAACCCUUGUGAAUAGUUGUAUUUUUCUAUUCAGACUGCCCCGGUAACGGGGAGGAAGGAGGGGAUGAUGUCAGGUCAGUAUUUCCCUUACGUCCUGGGCUAGAAACGUAAUACAAUGGCUAGUACAAUGCGCAGCGAAGCCGCGAGGUGAAGCAAAUCGCAUCAAAGCUAGUCCCAGUUCGGAUUGUAGGCUGAAACUCGCCUGCAUGAAGUCGGAAUCGCUAGUAAUCGCAAAUCAGCAAGUUGCGGUGAAUACGUUCCCGGGUCUUGUACACACCGCCCGUCAAACCAUGAAAGUGACCAACACCCGAAGUCCGAUUCGUCGGCCUAAGGUGGGGGGCAUGAUUGGGGUUAAGUCGUAACAAGGUAUCCGUACCGGAAGGUGCGGAUG
rnacentral:rRNA from 1 species